CUCUAUUGGCCCCUCGCCCGAGUUGUAAUUUGUAGAAGGUGUCUCGGGGGCGACGACGACGCAAGUUUCCUGGAAAGGAACGUCGCAGAGGGUGAGAAUCCCCGUAUGCUGUCGAACGUCAAUCCAGCGUGGAGACCCUUUCGACGAGUCGAGUUGUUUGGGAAUGCCAGCUCAAAAUGGGGUGGUAAAUUUCAUCUAACUCUAAAUAUCCGCCCGAAACCGAUAGCACACAAGUAAGAGUGAUCGAAAGGAUGAAAAGAACUUUGAAAAGAGAGUGAAACAGUACGUGAAAUUGUUGAAAGGGAAGCGCUUGCAAUCAGACUCGUCCGCGCUUGUUCAGCCUCUCCUUCGGGCAAGGUGCAUUCUUGCGCGGACGGGCCAGCAUCGAUUUCGGCGGCCGGACAAAGGUCUUGGGAAUGUAGCUCCUUUCGGGGAGUGUUAUAGCCUGAGGUGUAAUGCGGCCAGUCGGGAUUGAGGACCGCGCUUUUGCUAGGAUGCUGGCGUAAUGGUUGCUAGCGACCCGUCUUGAAACACGGACCAAGGAGUCGACCAACCGCGCGAGUGUUUGGGUGUCAAGCCCACAACGCGCAAUGAAAGUGAACGCAGGUGGGAAGCUUCGGCUGCACCAUCGACCGAUCUUGAUGUCUUCGGAUGGAUUUGAGUACGAGCGCGUUUGGUCGGACCCGAAAGUCAUGUGAUCUAUGCGUGAAUAGGGUGAAGCCAGAGGAAACUCUGGUGGAGGCUCGCAGCGGUUCUGACGUGCAAAUCGAUCGUCAAAUUUGCGCAUAGGGGCGAAAGACUAAUCGAACUGACUAGUAGCUGGUUCCUGUCGAAGUUUCCCUCAGGAUAGCAGCAGCGAGCAACAGUCUCAUGAGGUAGAGCGAACGAUUAGAGGACUGGGGGGCGCAAUGCCCUUCUCCUAUUCUCGAACUUCGAAUACGUGAGAAGGCCUGUUACUAAUGAACGUGACAAACGGAGAUCGCUUGCGAACGGAAAAUGAAAAACUUCCC
rnacentral:rRNA from 1 species